CUACGGGUCGCUCCAGUAGGGAAUAUUGCACAAUGGGCGAAAGCCUGAUGCAGCAACGCCGCGUGUGCGAUGAAGGCCUUCGGGUCGUAAAGCACUUUUCGGGGGGAUGAGAAAGGACAGUACUCCCGGAAUAAGUCUCGGCUAACUACGUGCCAGCAGCCGCGGUAACACGUAGGAGGCAAGCGUUAUCCGGAUUUACUGGGCGUAAAGCGCGUGCAGGUGGUUUGGUAAGUUGGAUGUGAAAUCUCCCGGCUCAACUGGGUGAGGUCGUUCAAAACUGCUGGACUAGAGGACGGUAGAGGAAAGUGGAAUUCCCGGUGUAGUGGUGAAAUGCGUAGAUAUCGGGAGGAACACCAGUGGCGAAAGCGACUUUCUGGCCCGUUCCUGACACUAAGACGCGAAAGCUAGGGUAGCAAACGGGAUUAGAUACCCCCGUAGUC
rnacentral:rRNA from 1 species